rnacentral:misc_RNA from 1 species
GAUGAAGAACGCAGUGAAAUGCGAUAAGUAAUGUGAAUUGCAGAAUUCAGUGAAUCAUCGGAUCUUUGAACGCACAUUGCGCCCAUUAGUAUUCUAGUGGGCAUGCCUGUUCGAGCGUCAUUAAGUCCACUUAAGCCCUGCUUAGUGUUGGGAGACUGCUCCAGCGGUGCUACCCUGUAGCUACCCUGCAGCUCCUCAAAGACAGCGGCGGAGUUGUGGUAUCCUCUGAGCUUAGUAACUUGUUCUAGCUUUCGAGUACACCACUUCCCCUGCCGUAAAACCCUUAAUUUUUAAUGGUUGACCUCGGAUCAGGUAGGAAUACCCGCUGAACUUAAGCAUAUCAAUAAGCGGAGGA